rnacentral:rRNA from 1 species
CAAUAGCGUAUAUUAACGUUGUUGCAGUUAAAAAGCUCGUAGUUGGAUUUCUGGAGGGAGCGUCGGCCCGUAUUUACGAGUGCGUGACGUCUCUGUCCAUCCUUGCGGGAAGGCACGGCAUUGAUUUGUUGUGUCGGAUCGCAUCAUUUACUGUGAAAAAAUUAGAGUGUUCAAAGCAGGCUUUCGCUUGAAUACAUUAGCAUGGAAUAAUAAGAUAGGACUUUGGUGCUAUUUUGUUGGUUGAGCCUAAAGUAAUGAUUAAUAGGGAUAGUUGGGGGCACCUGUAUUGCGUUGUCAGAGGUGAAAUUCUUGGAUUUACGCAAGACAAACAGCUGCGAAAGCGUCUGCCAAGGAUGUUUUCAUUAAU